rnacentral:lncRNA from 1 species
AGCAGCUUUGGCUAAUACACUCGGCUGCAGGCCACUGCGGAGAUAUGGCCAGACAGCUACAGAGAGAAGUGCACUCCCAGACGUUGCUGGGACAUGACUUGCAGACUGGGCAGCUCUGGAUCUGUAGCGCUGUGGAUCUGGCACUCAUAGUUUAUCCAAGUGGAAGUGGAACUGAAGUAGAUAUUACUCGAUUAAAGAGAAGAGGAAAUGGGAGCAGAAGGGAGGUAGGAUUUAAAUGUUGCUGACAAUAGUCUUAGUUCAUAAUUUUGUAAUGAACCCCCCCAGCUAUACCUGUUUUACCUAUUUGAAUUAAAAGUACAAUAUAUGGCCUGUCUGGGCCCCCUUUAUAACAAUAAUUCUACACAGAGC